rnacentral:rRNA from 1 species
AGCUCCAAUAGCGUAUAUUAAAGUUGUUGCAGUUAAAAAGCUCGUAGUUGAAUUUCUAGUAAAUUAAUAUUUUGCUUCGGCUUGUAUUAGUUUGCUAUCCGACAAUGAACCAUGCCGGUUAUUAAGUUAACCACAUGGAGAACUGUCAUUUUACUUUGAAAAAAUUAGAGUGUUUCAGGCAGGCAAUUGCCCGAAUAUCUUAGCAUGGAAUAAUGGAAUAGGACUUUGGUUCAUUUUAUUGGUUAUUGAAUCAGAGUAAUGAUUAAUAGGGACAGUUGGGGGCAUUAGUAUUUAAUUGUCAGAGGUGAAAUUCUUGGAUUUAUUAAAGACUAUCUUAUGCGAAAGCAUUUGCCAAGGAUGUUUUCA